GUUUUAAUAAUUUAUCCUAAAAUAUUGGUCUUGUAAACCAAAAAUAAGAACUUUUCUUUUAAAACU
rnacentral:tRNA from 1 species